UGCCUGGUAGUGGGGGAUAACGUUCCGAAAGGAACGCUAAUACCGCAUACGUCCUACGGGAGAAAGCAGGGGACCUUCGGGCCUUGCGCUAUCAGAUGAGCCUAGGUCGGAUUAGCUAGUUGGUGAGGUAAUGGCUCACCAAGGCGACGAUCCGUAACUGGUCUGAGAGGAUGAUCAGUCACACUGGAACUGAGACACGGUCCAGACUCCUACGGGAGGCAGCAGUGGGGAAUAUUGGACAAUGGGCGAAAGCCUGAUCCAGCCAUGCCGCGUGUGUGAAGAAGGUCUUCGGAUUGUAAAGCACUUUAAGUUGGGAGGAAGGGCAGUAAC
rnacentral:rRNA from 1 species